rnacentral:rRNA from 1 species
UACGUAGGGGGCCAGCGUUGUUCGGAAUUACUGGGCGUAAAGGGUUCGUAGGCGGUGUGGCAAGUCGGGAGUGAAAUCUCUGGGCUCAACUCAGAGACUGCUUCCGAAACUGCUGUGCUGGAGUGUGGGAGAGGCGCGUGGAAUUGCAGGUGUAGCGGUGAAAUGCGUAGAUAUCUGCAGGAACACCCGUGGCGAAAGCGGCGCGCUGGACCACUACUGACGCUGAGGAACGAAAGCUAGGGGAGCAAACAGG